rnacentral:rRNA from 1 species
CAAUAGCGUAUAUUAAAGUUGUUGCAGUUAAAAAGCUCGUAGUUGGAUUUCUGGUGGGAGCGAUCGGUCUGGCGCUUAGCGCGAGUACUUGCAGCGUCUCCGGCCAUCCUUGGGGAGAGUCUGUCUGGCAUUAGGUUGUCGGGCAGAGGAUCCUCAUCGUUUACUGUGAAAAAAUUAGAGUGUUCAAAGCAGGCUUAUGCCGUUGAAUAUAUUAGCAUGGAAUAAUAAGAUAGGACUUUGGUACUAUUUUGUUGGUUUGCGCACCAAAGUAAUGAUUAAUAGGGACAGUUGGGGGUAUUCGUAUUCCGUUGUCAGAGGUGAAAUUCUUGGAUUUACGGAAGACGAACUACUGCGAAAGCAUUUACCAAGGAUGUUUUCAUUAA